AAAUUUUUGCCUUUUUGCUUUAUUAUGACCGGUUUAUUAAUUGAAAUAAAUGAGAAAAAGGAAGAGAAAAUACGCGUCCUUUAUUGCCCUAUAUCUUCUCUGCUUGGUUCUCUCAGCCACCAUUAACGUUUCACAGCUCACAUCUACCCAGCGGCGGAUCCAUGUAUAAUUUUUGGUGCUUCGUCAUUCAUUAAAUUUAGUCAUGGAGGUGUAUAGCUAUAUAGAAAAUAUAAAGUAUACAGAUAUAAAUAGUUAAUAGAGCAUCCGAACGGAUGCAGCAUUCCGAACUCAAAAUCCUGAGUUUGCCGCUGCAUCUACCGCCACCGUUUCACGAUUACAAUGCUUUAUGCUUCUCGUGUUCCGUCACCCAUUACAAGGCUUUCCACCUGCUUCUUGCUCUUCUAUAUCUCCGUCGCCCAAGGAUUAAUUUCAGUUUGGCAUUCAGUUGGACUUUCCCAAAAAUAAGUCCAGCGGUUCUCAGAGCAAAUAGGUCCUUUCUUUAUAAACACUGUAAUUUCUGAUUAGUCUCUGUCACUUCAUUGCAGCAUGAUUAACAAUGCCAGUUUGAAAGUUCAAACGCCACCAACGAUAUGGAGAAGAAUCGAUACUCCGAUAACAGAGUGAUGAAUGCGAAUAACCUUCCUCAGUUUUUGCUUGAAGUUCCAAAGUAGGAAAACGCAACAUUGCAGGAUGCUCCGGAUAUUAUUUCUUCAUGACCUUAAGAUCCACAAUAUUUCCCAUCGGAGCGGUCUUCAUCUUGAUGCAUUUUCCAAGUAUCUUUUUGUUCCAGAAUCAUCUUCAACGUCGCUGUCAGAAUUGCAGCAGGAAUUCAAUUAGUUGACAUUGAAGUUGGUAACUUCCGGUUUCCAAAUUCCAUCAAUAACAAACAAAAAAAAUGUAUCUCUUGAUUGUCUUUCUUAAACAAGGCAAACAAUUUUGGACUAUGUUUUUAGUAGAUGUUGUCACCAGAAUUUCAAGCUUUAGUCAUUUGGCUUCACUUUCUUGCAGAUUUGAUAACAAAGUAGAGAAGCAGCAAUUUUCACAGUACUGUAUAUCAGUUAGCCCAAAUGUAUAAUCUAUAUAUCUAUAUAAAACAGGGACAUAGUCCCGCUGAUGUGACGUUCUCAUAAACCAGUAUUCCUAUUUAUCUUUGCUCUCAAUUUUUUGGCCAAAUUCCUUUUUUUUUUUUAAAUCCCGCGCUAUAAUAAUAAAAAACCAGUCGCGUCUUGAGUUAAGGAAAAAUGACUAGACGGGUUUUUUUUUGUGGCUUUUUCACUCCCUUCUCUCUCCCUCCUCUUUCUCCCUGCCAACAUUAACUUUGCUCCUCUUCCUUUCACGAUUCUGUCCUAUGGCUAUAACUGCUGGAGUCAAAGCGGAACGACGCCGGCAAUACUCUGCUCCUAAACAAGAUUAACCGUGACAAAUAUAACGUCUCUACUUGAAGGGCUGCAUCUUGCGGAAAAGGUGAGGCCUCUGAUUUCUUGAACUCUUAAGGUCCAUGGGUAAUAAGCACUCUCCCUCGUGAUACUUUUUUUUCUAUAUUUUCUGCUUUUCUUAUGGAAAUAUAACCAGUGAUGCACCUUGUUGCUUCCUUUUCUCUUCAGAUCACAUCUUUUUAAAUCUAUUCGUGCUUUCUUGACACCUCUUUUACUGCUGCAUUAUAGGAUGUACGUUGUCUGUCAUUGCUUUCCUCCUUCCUCGGUUGUUUGUUUUUUCAAAAAUAAUUCCCCCACUCUCCUCAAGGCUUUAUGUUUUUAUAUAAAGCUUAAUUUAUCAUACAUUGAUUUUCUUGCUCUUAAUACUAUUGACAUCUUUAUGUUUCACGAUGGUAGCAAACAUAAGGAAGGUUCCGCUGGUGCCCGAGGCAUAUGCAGGAUGAAAAUGGAACUAUGAUGAAGACGUAUAAUUGAUUCCCCUCUUAAUAGAUGCAGUAGCAAUACGGCUGAAGAUAGAACAAUUUUUGUUGGGAUAAAAUGGUAUAUAGAAGAAGGCAAUCAAGUAGCAGACGCUUUGGUCAAGUAGAGUAUUGACAGCUCGAAUCUUACUCUCCAUUCCAGCGACGAUCUGCCUCAAAGGGCUAGGAGCUUAUAUAGACUUAGAGCCUGUUUGGAUGGGCCUACCCCAACUUAUUUUUUUUAGCUUAUAAGCUGUUUUCAGCUUAUAAGCUGCUUUAGAUAAGCUAAGAGCCUGUUUGGAUGGGCUUAUGCCUAUAAGGUGCAAACAGCUUAUAAGCUAAAAAAAAUAAGUUGGGUAGUCUAACUUAUUUUUUUUGGCUUAUAAGCUGUUUUCAGCUUAAAACAGCUUAUAAGCUGCUUUAGAUAAGCUAAAUCAAAUAGGCCCAAUUAUUUUUUUGAGCUUAUUUUAAGCACAAAGUGACUUUAAGCUGGCCAGCCAAACACUCAAGAAAGUUGAAAACAGCUUAUAAGCAACUUAUAAGCCAAUCCAAACGGGCUCUAAGUCAAAUGGGCCCAAUUAUUUUUUUGAGCUUAUUUUAAGCACAAAAUGACUUUAAGCUGGUCAGCCAAACACUCAAAAAAACGGAAAACAGCUUAUAAGCAACUUAUAAGCCAAUCCAAACGGGCUCUUAAUUUAAUCCAGAUGGCCUCUUUCCGACAUAAGCACAUGAACUACAUUAUUUUGUGUUUGUCUGUUGUAAAUAUAAGCAGGAUUCUUUGUAUUUUUGCUAACUGUAGGUAGGCUUCAGUUAUUUUCUUCGCGAUAUGUAUAUCCUAUACCUUCUUUUGGUAUAUUUAUCUCAAAUUUGAAUGA